rnacentral:rRNA from 1 species
GACGAACGCUGGCGGCGUGCUUAACACAUGCAAGUCGAGCGGAAAGGCCACUUCGGUGGUACUCGAGCGGCGAACGGGUGAGUAACGCGUGAGUAAUCUGCCCCUGGCUUUGGGAUAGCCACCGGAAACGGUGAUUAAUACCGGAUAUGACCACGUCUCGCAUGGGGUGUGGUGGAAAGUUUUUCGGCCAGGGAUGUGCUCGCGGCCUAUCAGCUUGAUGGUGAGGUAAUGGCUCACCAUGGCUUCGACGGGUAGCCGGCCUGAGAGGGUGACCGGUCACACUGGGACUGAGACACGGCCCAGACUCCUACGGGAGGCAGCAGUGGGGAAUAUUGGACAAUGGGCGGAAGCCUGAUCCAGCAACGCCGCGUGAGGGAUGACGGCCUUCGGGUUGUAAACCUCUUUCAGUACCGACGAAGCGCAAGUGACGGUAGGUACAGAAGAAGCACCGGCCAACUACGUGCCAGCAGCCGCCGUAAGAC